UGCUGGUGGCAAGCCCCGUGACUGGCAUCCUCUUGGGCACAGGGGUCCCUGGAGCCAGGAGAGAUGCUGCCACUGAAGCUGAAGUG